rnacentral:tRNA from 1 species
UCCCUCAUAGCUCAGUCGGUAAAGAAUCUGCCUGCGAUGCAGGAGACCUGGGUUCGAUUCCUGGGUCGGGAA